rnacentral:rRNA from 1 species
CCUACGGGAGGCUGCAGUCGAGGAUCUUCGGCAAUGGGCGCAAGCCUGACCGAGCGACGCCGCGUGCGGGAUGAAGGCCUUCGGGUUGUAAACCGCUGUCCGGGGGGAUGAAAUCAUGGUGGGUACUCCCAUCAUGUUGACAGAGCCCCAGAGGAAGCGCGGGCUAAGUUCGUGCCAGCAGCCGCGGUAAUACGAACUGCGCGAGCGUUAGUCGGAAUGACUGGGCUUACGGGAUCGGUAGGUGGGUGUGAAAUGCCUUGGCUCAACCAAGGCACAGCGCUCUAAACUACUUUGCUUGAGUGAGUCAGGGGUGCACGGAACUUCCGGUGGAGCGGUGAAAUGUGUUGAUAUCGGAAGGAACACCGGCGGCGAAAGCGGUGCACUGGGGCUUAACUGACACUGAGGCACGAAAGCCAGGGGAGCGAACGGGAUUAGAUACCCCUGUAGUC